ACUCCUUCUUCCUUUAGGAUGGGAGAGGGGCCAACUCACACACUUCCCAGAAUACAAAUAAGACUUAUCAGUUUUAUAUCUGAAAUUUCCUUUAUUUGAACACUAUAUUAAAUGGAUUUUUGGAACAGUGAGAUGGACUAGAAGUUUGCGCCAUUCAUUCCAUGAAUUAACCUGGUUUUGCAAUUCCUCCAGGAAUGAUUUUUUUUUU
rnacentral:snRNA from 1 species